UACGAAGGGGGCUAGCGUUGCUCGGAAUCACUGGGCGUAAAGCGCACGUAGGCGGAUUCCUAAGUCGGGGGUGAAAUCCUGGAGCUCAACUCCAGAACUGCCUUUGAUACUGAGGAUCUUGAGUUCGGGAGAGGUGAGUGGAACUGCGAGUGUAGAGGUGAAAUUCGUAGAUAUUCGCAAGAACACCAGUGGCGAAGGCGGCUCACUGGCCCGAUACUGACGCUGAGGCACGAAAGCGUGGGGAGCAAACAGG
rnacentral:rRNA from 1 species